UGGAAAACCCAUUGAGGUGAGAAGUCAUCAAAUCCAGCCCCCGGUACUGAGGCAGGCCCAGGUAAACCUAGACCAGCCCAGACAGGUGUUUGUCCAACCUCUUCUUAAAAACCUUCAGUCAUGGAGAUCCCACAACCU